UUGUAAUUUGUAGAGGAUACUUUUGAUGCGGUGCCUUCCGAGUUCCCUGGAACGGGACGCCAUAGAGGGUGAGAGCCCCGUCUGGUUGGAUGCCAAAUCUCUGUAAAGUUCCUUCAACGAGUCGAGUAGUUUGGGAAUGCUGCUCUAAAUGGGAGGUAUAUGUCUUCUAAAGCUAAAUACCGGCCAGAGACCGAUAGCGCACAAGUAGAGUGAUCGAAAGAUGAAAAGCACUUUGAAAAGAGAGUUAAAAAGUACGUGAAAUUGUUGAAAGGGAAGCGUUUAUGACCAGACUUGGGCUUGGUUAAUCAUCUGGGGUUCUCCCCAGUGCACUUUUCCAGUCCAGGCCAGCAUCAGUUUUCCCCGGGGGAUAAAGGCGGCGGGAAUGUGGCUCUCUUCGGGGAGUGUUAUAGCCCACCGUGUAAUACCCUGGGGGGGACUGAGGUUCGCGCAUCUGCAAGGAUGCUGGCGUAAUGGUCAUCAACG
rnacentral:rRNA from 1 species